rnacentral:rRNA from 1 species
UGGGGAAUCUUGCGCAAUGGGCGAAAGCCUGACGCAGCAACGCCGUGUGAGCGAUGAAGGCCCUCGGGUCGUAAAGCUCUGUCGGGAGGAAAGAUGGUUAUUAGGGUUAAUACCCCUAGUGAUUGACGGUACCUCCAAAGGAAGCACCGGCUAACUCUGUGCCAGCAGCCGCGGUAAUACAGAGGGUGCAAGCGUUGUUCGGAAUCAUUGGGCGUAAAGCGCGCGUAGGCGGUUUCAUAAGUCUGAUGUGAAAGCCCGGGGCUCAACCUCGGAAGUGCAUCGGAAACUGUGUGACUAGAGUCCCGGAGGGGGUGGUGGAAUUCCUGGUGUAGAGGUGAAAUUCGUAGAUAUCAGGAGGAACACCGGUGGCGAAGGCGACCACCUGGACGGUGACUGACGCUGAGGUGCGAAAGCGUGGGUAGCAAACAGG